GAUUUUUGGCAAUUUUACCUCAGAAAUUCCAGAAUUUUCUCUUUCCCUCAUGGAAUUUUCUUUUCCCAGCCGUUGUCAGCGCCAUUCCCGUUCCAACCUUGGAGAGUUCUCAAUAUCCAGGGAUUUUACCUUCUCCCACCGGAUUCCCGAAUUUCCCUCUGAGGCCUCUGCCCUUCCCCAGCCUUGUUGGAAGAGCUCUUCCCGAAAAUCCUCCUCUGGAUCAUCCCAACCCCGAGGAAAUUCCCAGCAGGACCAUCCCGACCGCCUGCGUCCGUCCCACCCAUCCCCUGCGCAGCUUCGCCAAUGCCGUGGAUCCCAACGUCCCCUACCCGCCCCUGCUGGCCCAAGCCCCCCUGAAGACGGCGUCGCUGGGCUUCCCGGGCAAAGCUCGCUCGCCGCUGCUGCCGGUGUCGGUUCCCACGGCGCCGGAAUGCGCCGAGGACGCCCCGGAGCCGCGGAGCGAGGCCGGAAACGUUUACGAACAGGACGAGCUGAGCGAGCAAAUGGCGAGUUUGGAAGGGCUGAUGAAACAACUCAACGCCAUCACUGGAUCCGCCUUUUAAUUCCCAAAAAAAUCCCUCGGAAUUCCCGAAAUUCCAAAAAUUCCCGAGGUUUUGGGGUCGGGAAAUCCGAAUGGGAAAAAAAAAAUGGUGGAAUUUGGGGGUUUUUUGGGGAUUUAGAGGGGAAAUUUGGGUUUUUUGGGGGUUUUUUGGGGGGAAAAUGGGAAUUUUUGGGGUUUUUUUUGGGGGGUUUUUGGAGGGGGAAUUUGGGAAAAAUGGGAAGAAGUUUCAUGGGAAAAUGGGGAAAAAUCCUGGAAAAAUGGAAAAAAAAUUCAGAAAAAAUGGGAAAAAAUUCAGAAAAAUUCCUGGAAAAAUGGGAAAAAAUUUCUUGCAAAACUGGGAAAAAAAUCCUGGAAAAUGGGGAAAAAUUCAGAAAAAAUCCUGGAAAAAUGGGAAGAAAUUUCAUGGAAAAAUGGGGAAAAAAUCCUGGAAAAAUGGGGAAAAAAUCCGGGAAAAAAUCCUGGAAAAAUGGGAAAAAAUUCAGAAAAAAUCCUGGAAAAA
rnacentral:lncRNA from 1 species